GAUGAAGAACGUAGCGAAAUGCGAUAAGUAAUGUGAAUUGCAGAAUUCAGUGAAUCAUCGAAUCUUUGAACGCACAUUGCGCCCGCCAGUAUUCUGGCGGGCAUGCCUGUUCGAGCGUCAUUUCAACCCUCAAGCCCAGCUUGGUGUUGGGGAUCGGCACAGGCGCCCUCGGGCGCCCGCCGUCCCCUAAAUCUAGUGGUGGUCCCGCUGCAGCCUCCUCUGCGUAGUAGUUUUCUCCUCGCAAGGGCAGCUCGGUGGCGACCUCGCCGUAAAACCCCCAACUUCUGAAAGGUUGACCUCGAAUCAGGUAGGAAUACCCGCUGAACUUAAGCAUAUCAAUAAGCGGAGGA
rnacentral:misc_RNA from 1 species